rnacentral:rRNA from 1 species
AUUGAACGCUGGCGGCAGGCCUAACCCAUGCAAGUCGAACGAGUGGCGGACGGGUGAGUAAUGUCUGGGAAACUGCCCGAUGGAGGGGGAUACCUACUGGAAACGGUAGCUAAUACCGCAUACCAUCGGAUGUGCCCAGAUGGGAUUAGCUAGUAGGUGGGGUAACGGCUCACCUAGGCGACGGUCCCGAGCUGGUCUGAGAGGAUGACCAGCCACACUGAGACGGAGACACGGUCCAGACUCCUACGGGAGGCAGCAGUGGGGAAUAUUGCACAAUGGGCGCAAGCCUGAUGCAGCCAUGCCGCGUGUAUGAAGAAGGCCUUCGGGUUGUAAAGUACUUUCAGCGAGGAGGCGUUACUCGCAGAAGAAGCACCGGCUAACUCCGUGCCAGCCGCCGCGGUAAUAC